GAGAGAGAGAGAAAACCUCCCUCUGUAUUAUAGACACAGCAUAUAUUCUCGACUGUAUUAUAUUUUCUUAAUAAACACGUCAGGAGGUUUUUGGAGGCGUGCUACUUGCUAGGCACAAUUUUCACUAAGUGCCAUAUUUUGCUGCACCGCCAUGAUAUGAAUGACACGCAAACCUGUUUGAUCCGGUUUGGUAGGUUUAAUAAUAAGUUGAGUCAGGUGUGUUAGAGCGGGGGGGAAUCUCAGGACCAGGAUUUAAAAAAGGUGUCAAGGAUGAAGUGGAUUUUAAGGAAAGGAUGUUCGAGUGGUUGCUGCAGUGUAUGUGUUCGUUCCCCUCCCUUUUCUGUGAUCUUGCUUUGACAAAGGAGGUCGACUCCAGAAAAGAGCAAAAAGUUUCUUCUUUUCAAAGCGCCUUCAAUAUUUUAGCCUCUGUUUAAAUUCACCGACACGGAAAUUAAAGCCAAAUUGUUUGUAUAGCUUUGUUCCAUCAAGAUUUAGUUACAGAUCAUUAGAACAAAGCAGAAGGCGUCAGGCGGCGAACAUAACAAGCAGGAGGAGGAAGAAGAAGGUGGGGGGUUCCAGGGACUAAUUCAUCAUAACCUACAUUUAAAUUUCGACUUUGAUGACAACGCUAUUGGCAGCAAGACGACGCUCAUUGGUCAAUUCGAUGCCUGGAACGUCUGCGUCACGCACCCAUCGAACACUAUUGGCCGCGCAGUGUGUCAAUCAAACGACGUCCGGGCGCAGUGAGAAGGAAAUCCCGGAAGUGGAUUAGCACAAGGACUGAACUCGGAGGCGCAAUUGAAUUAGGUUGUGUUAAGCAUAUUACAGAUAUAAUUAAGGUUUUAACAAGGUGCACCAAAUGACAUUAGGCUCUGUUUAAAUGAUUUACUUUCACAUAAGUCCAGCAAACUCUUAAAAAAUAGGUCUAAAGGUACCAAACUGUACAUUUCCUUCACUUGGUGGUAUCAAAGACACAUUUUUUUUGUACCUUUAAUAUAUAUAUUUUUUAAUCUUUUGUGUGCAUUUAAUAAACUUUUUGAGUCAA